rnacentral:rRNA from 1 species
AGAAUCAACGCUGGCGGCGUGCCUCAGACAUGCAAGUCGAACGCGAAAGUCCCCUUCGGGGGAUGAGUAGAGUGGCGCACGGGUGAGUAACACGUAGGUAAUCUACCUUCGGGUGGGGAAUAACCCAGGGAAACUUGGGCUAACACCGCAUAAUGCAGCGGCACCACAUGGUGACAGUUGUUAAAGCGGGGGAUUUUAGGACCUCGCGCCUGAAGAGGAGCCUGCGGCAGAUUAGCUAGUUGGUAAGGUAACGGCUUACCAAGGCGACGAUC